rnacentral:snRNA from 1 species
AAAACAAAGUAAAAGGGGGGAUACCAUGAUCAUGAAGGUUUUCCCGGGGCGAGGCUUAUCUAUUGCACUCUGGAUAUGCUGACCCCUGAGAUUUCCCCAAACGUGAGAAACUUGACUGCAUAAUUUGUGGUAGUGGAGUACUGCAUAUAUGUUUUCCCCUG